UGCGUAGGCGAAAUAUUAAGUCAGUGGUGAAAUCCUGCGGCUCAACCGUAGAACUGCCAUUGAUACUGAUAUUCUUGAAUGUAGUUGAGGUAGGCGGAAUGUGUAAUGUAGCGGUGAAAUGCUUAGAUAUUACACAGAACACCGAUUGCGAAGGCAGCUUACUAAACUAUGAUUGACGCUGAGGCACGAAAGCGUGGGGAGCGAACAGGAUUAGAUACCCUGGUAGUCC
rnacentral:rRNA from 1 species